UUGGGAAUCUUGCACAAUGGGGGAAACCCUGAUGCAGCGACGCCGCGUGGAGGACGAAGGAUCUAGGUCUGUAAACUCCUUUUUCACGGAAAGACUUAGGACGGUACCGUGAGAAUAAGCCCCGGCUAACUACGUGCCAGCAGCCGCGGUAAGACGUAGGGGGCGAGCGUUGUCCGGAUUUACUGGGCGUAAAGAGCGCGUAGGCGACUCGUUAAGUGUGAAGUGAAAUCUCCAGGGCUCAACCCGGAAACUGCUUCGCAUACUGGCGAGCUUGGGGAAUGCAGAGGUAAGUAGAAUUCCUGGUGUAGCGGUGAAAUGCGUAGAUAUCAGGAGGAAUACCGACGGCGAAGGCAGCUUACUGGGCAUUAUCUGACGCUGAGGCGCGAAAGCGUGGGUAGCAAACAGGGAUUAGAUACCCUCGUAGUCCCUGAGCGGGCUGGCAAGGCGCAU
rnacentral:rRNA from 1 species